UACGGAGGGUGCGAGCGUUGUCCGGAAUCACUGGGCGUAAAGGGCGCGUAGGCGGCCUGAUAAGUAGGGGAUGAAAUCCUGCGGCUUAACCGCAGGGCUGCCUUCUAAACUGUCAGGCUUGAGCACAGUAGAGGCAGGUGGAAUUCCCGGUGUAGCGGUGGAAUGCGUAGAGAUCGGGAAGAACAUCAGUGGCGAAGGCGGCCUGCUGGGCCGUUGCUGACGCUGAGGCGCGACAGCGUGGGGAGCAAACAGG
rnacentral:rRNA from 1 species